rnacentral:rRNA from 1 species
AGUGAACGCUGGCGGCAGGCCUAACACAUGCAAGUCGAGCGAGCGGCGGACGGGUGAGUAAUGUCUGGGAAACUGCCUGAUGGAGGGGGAUAACUACUGGAAACGGUAGCUAAUACCGCAUACCAUCGGAUGUGCCCAGAUGGGAUUAGCUAGUAGGUGGGGUAACGGCUCACCUAGGCGACGAUCCCUAGCUGGUCUGAGAGGAUGACCAGCCACACUGGAACUGAGACACGGUCCAGACUCCUACGGGAGGCAGCAGGGGGGAAUAUUGCACAAUGGGCGCAAGCCUGAUGCAGCCAUGCCGCGUGUGUGAAGAAGGCCUGCGGGUUGUAAAGUACUUUCAGCGAGGAGGCGUUACCCGCAGAAGAAGCACCGGCUAACUCCGUGCCAGCAGCCGCGGUAAUAC